rnacentral:rRNA from 1 species
GGGGCACACCUCUUCCCAUUCCGAACAGAGCAGUUAAGCCCGUGCGCGCCGAUGGUACUGCAUGAGAGUGUGGGAGAGUAGGUCGCCGCCAGCU